CGAACACUUGACUCCAGUAACGACUAGACACAUGUAUUGAAUACGUAACCUGCUGUAACAUUGUAACAUUGUAAGGCAUGGGCUGCUUUCAGUCUAUCAGACGUCAUGGUGAAGACGAGGAACAAGAAGAACUUGAG